AUAUCAAUAAGCGGAGGAAAAGAAACCAACCGGGAUUGCCUUAGUAACGGCGAGUGAAGCGGCAAAAGCUCAAAUUUGAAAUCUGGUACCUUCGGUGCCCGAGUUGUAAUUUGGAGAGGGCAACUUUGGGGCCGUUCCUUGUCUAUGUUCCUUGGAACAGGACGUCAUAGAGGGUGAGAAUCCCGUGUGGCGAGGAGUGCGGUUCUUUGUAAAGUGCCUUCGAAGAGUCGAGUUGUUUGGGAAUGCAGCUCUAAGUGGGUGGUAAAUUCCAUCUAAAGCUAAAUAUUGGCGAGAGACCGAUAGCGAACAAGUACAGUGAUGGAAAGAUGAAAAGAACUUUGAAAAGAGAGUGAAAAAGUACGUGAAAUUGUUGAAAGGGAAGGGCAUUUGAUCAGACAUGGUGUUUUGUGCCCUCUGCUCCUUGUGGGUAGGGGAAUCUCGCAUUUCACUGGGCCAGCAUCAGUUUUGGUGGCAGGAUAAAUCCAUUAGGAAUGUAGCUUGCCUCGGUAAGUAUUAUAGCCUGUGGGAAUACUGCCAGCUGGGACUGAGGACUGCGACGUAAGUCAAGGAUGCUGGCAUAAUGGUUAUAUGCCGCCCGUCUUGAAACACGGACCCCA
rnacentral:rRNA from 1 species